rnacentral:rRNA from 1 species
CACGGGGGGAGCAAGCGUUGUUCGGAAUCACUGGGCGUAAAGGGCGUGUAGGCGGUUUGGUAAGUGGGAUGUGAAAUGCCUCGGCUCACCCGAGGACCGGCAUCCCAAACUGCCAAGCUUGAGUAUGGGAGAGGAUGUGGGAAUUCCUAGUGUAGCGGUGAAAUGCGUAGAUAUCAGGAGGAACACCGGUGGCGAAGGCGCACAUCUGGCCCAAUACUGACGCUGAGGCGCGAAAGCUAGGGGAGCAAACGGG